rnacentral:lncRNA from 1 species
GGCAGCAAUCUAUGAAGAUUAUCUGACCUUAUUCAUUUCCCAAAAGAUUGGGUCUGCCCAGGUAAGGAAGAACAGAAAAUCAAUAAGAGUUCCAGAGUUGUGGCCUCUAUAGAGGGCAGUGUCAGGGCUAGGAAGUAAGGGAUUCAGACAAGUUGCUCAAAAAGCCUUAUCAGUCCUUUUUCUAGAUUGUAAUUACUUUAGAAGACAUAAAUCUCAGUAUAAUACCAUCUGAAAAAACCUGGGAAUGAACAAGGUAAGAUGGCAUUAUAAAUUUAUCCAUUACAGCCCCUCUUUGUAUGCUUCUGUGUAUAUCUCCACUCAUUUCCAUUUUGUUAUCUCUUAGCAUUUAGGUAUUAUUAUUAUAAUUUUGGUACCCAGGAGUGCUUUGUCACUGAGCUACAUUUCCAGCCCUUUUUACAUUUUUUUUUUUUUUUUAAGACAGGGUCUUUCCAAGUUGCUGAGGCUGGCCUCAAGCUUGCAGUCUUCCUUCCUCAACCUCCCAAGUUGCUGGGACACACCACCAUGUUCAACUCCAGCUUCUUGUUUUAACCUUAUCUAACCUGCAUCCAAUUCCAUUUUGGACUAUUCUGAAACCAAAUGAAAGAUAUUUUGGUCUAUAUUUAAUCAUUCUUUUUUUAAUAUUUAUUUUUUAGGUUUUUUUUAGGUGGACACAAUAUCUUUAUUUUGCAUUUAUGUAGUGCUGAGACUCGAACCCAGUACCUCACGCAUGCUAGGAGAGCGUGCUAACACUUGAGCCACAUCUCCAGCUCUAUAUUUAAUCAUUCGUAAGCAGGGAAAUAUAGCACUUUGUAAGUAUCAUAUGAAAUUCAAUCCAUUCAGGCAUGGUAGUACACACCUGCAAUCCCAGUAACUAGGAAGGCUGAGGCAAGGAGGAUCACAAAUUUGAGGCCAGUCUCAGCAAUUUAGCUAGGCCCUAAGAAACUCAGUGAGACCCUGUCUUAAAAUAAAAAAUAAAAAGGACUGGGGAUGUGUCUUAAUGAUUAAACACUCCUGGGUUUAAUCCCUAAUACCAAAAAAAAAAAAAAAAAAAAAAAAAAAGAAAAG